AUUGAACGCUGGCGGCAGGCCUAACACAUGCAAGUCGAGCGGAUGAAGGGAGCUUGCUCCUGGAUUCAGCGGCGGACGGGUGAGUAAUGCCUAGGAAUCUGCCUGGUAGUGGGGGAUAACGUCCGGAAACGGGCGCUAAUACCGCAUACGUCCUGAGGGAGAAAGUGGGGGAUCUUCGGACCUCACGCUAUCAGAUGAGCCUAGGUCGGAUUAGCUAGUUGGUAGGGUAAAGGCCUACCAAGGCGACGAUCCGUAACUGGUCUGAGAGGAUGAUCAGUCACACUGGAACUGAGACACGGUCCAGACUCCUACGGGAGGCAGCAGUGGGGAAUAUUGGACAAUGGGCGAAAGCCUGAUCCAGCCAUGCCGCGUGUGUGAAGAAGGUCUUCGGAUUGUAAAGCACUUUAAGUUGGGAGGAAGGGCAGUAAGUUAAUACCUUGCUGUUUUGACGUUACCAACAGAAUAAGCACCGGCUAACUUCGUG
rnacentral:rRNA from 1 species